AGUGAACGCUGGCGGUAGGCCUAACACAUGCAAGUCGAACGGCAGCACAGGAAGAGCUUGCGCUUACGGGUGGCGAGUGGGGGAAGGGUGAGGAAUACAUCGGAAUCUACUUUUACGCGGGUGAUAACGUAGGGUGAGUUAUGCUAAGAACGCAUACGACCCACUGGGGAAGGCACGGGAUCGUUGGACUUUUUGCGAUUGUAUGAGCCGAGGUAGGAUUAGCUAGUUGGCGGGGUAAAGGCACAGCAAGGCGACGAUCCGUAGCUGGCAUGAGAGGAUGAUCCGCCACAUUGGAACGGAGACACGGUCCAGACUCCUACGGGAGGCAGCAGUGGGGAAUAUUGCACAAUGGGCGAAAGCCUGAUCCAGCCAUACCGCGUGAGUGAUGAAGGACUUCGGCUUGUAAAACCCUUUUGUUCGGAAAGAAGAGCAGCGGUUUAAUCCCGCGCUAUUCUGACGGUACCCAAAGAAUAAGCCCCGGCUAACUUCGUG
rnacentral:rRNA from 1 species